rnacentral:lncRNA from 1 species
UGUUGCUGGAGGCUUAGUUCUGUCUAGCAUGUCGCUCUUCCUUUCUUUCUGUUGCCUUUUGUAUAAUGGAUGUGACUGCUGUCAUCUGAAUUGUUUACUGCAUGAAAGAUAUAUUCUUCUUUGUGCUCCAGUCUCCAGAGCCAUCCCCAGCCGAGUGCAAGGUGAUGUACUUUUUGUCCAGUGCACGUCAUGGUGAGGGAUGAGGCAUGAGUCACUUCCCCUGUGGGCAGCGAUGACUGACUGCCUCUGCUGCCUGUGGAGCUGCCACACCAGGGCUGGGCACACGAGGAGUCACCGCCUCCAAUCAGCUCUCUGAUGACGACACGAUGUAAAAGCAGUUUAUUAAGCUGCAAGAUGAAAGACUUUUACAGCUCAUUAAGGAGGAAAGCUCAUAAGAAGACAAGGUUCUAAUUCCAGGACACUGCUGCAUGCAGUUGAAUCAAUGGUGGUCACAGCAGAUUCCUGACACUGUGAGAAAGGAUUCUGCUCUUCUGCUGCUGCAUGGUCUUCAUACGGACCUCCAAACUGAGCUGAACUUCUGCAAAGCAAGAAAGGACAAUAUUUUAUUUAAAAAUAAACAAAGCAGCAUUGAUGGUUGGACUGAAACCCAGUGGAGAGAGAUUAAUGUGGAACAGAUGGAUGUGCAGCUCAGAAGGUUUGCCAAGGCAGGUUCCACAGCCAUCUAUUUCUGCAAUUUGUCUGUCUCAGUGCCACCCCUUCCUCACUCUUCCCACCCACUUGGAUGUUUGAGUGGGUUUAUUAUUCAUGUCCAAGCUGAAUGUUCUGGAUCAUGCUUUGCUUUGGGGGCUUUCCUUUAA